rnacentral:rRNA from 1 species
AUUGAACGCUGGCGGCAUGCCUAACACAUGCAAGUCGAACGGACCCUUCGGGGUUAGUGGCGGACGGGUGAGUAACACGUGGGAACGUGCCUUUAGGUUCGGAAUAGCUCCUGGAAACGGGUGGUAAUGCCGAAUGUGCCCUUCGGGGGAAGGAUUUAUCGCCUUUAGAGCGGCCCGCGUCUGAUUAGCUAGUUGGUGAGGUAAUGGCUCACCAAGGCGACGAUCAGUAGCUGGUCUGAGAGGAUGACCAGCCACACUGGGACUGAGACACGGCCCAGACUCCUACGGGAGGCAGCAGUGGGGAAUCUUGCGCAAUGGGCGAAAGCCUGACGCAGCCAUGCCGCGUGAAUGAUGAAGGUCUUAGGGUUGUAAAAUUCUUUCACCGGGGACGAUAAUGACGGUACCCGGAGAAGAAGCCCCGGCUAACUUCGUGCCAGCAGCCGCCGUAA